CUGUCCACAACUCUGCCAUCUGUAAUGAUGAUCACACUCCUCAUCAGGCUCAGUGUUUCACUACUCUGGAACACAGGUCUCGUUGAUGGGAAUGAUGUCACUCAGAGUCCCACAAUACUCUAUGAACCAAAAGACAAGGAUGCUCAGAUCAGCUGCAGUCAUACUAUGGCAUCAAGCUACUUCCAGAUGUACUGGUACAGACAACUACCAGGAGAGGGAAUGAAACAGGUAUUAUAUAUUACUACCAAUAACAAACCAGAGUAUUCAGGGGGAUUCAGUGAAGACAAAAUUUCUGCCAACAAGACUGAAGUACAGAGUGGAUCCUUCACAGUGAAGAAGUUGGAGACAGGAGACAGUGGAAUGUACUUCUGUGCUGUCUUACUGAUGGGAGUGAUGUUACUCAGAGCCCCUUCUUACUCCAGGGACUGAAAGACAGUGAUGUUCAGAUUAACUGUAGUCAUACUAAAGGAGCUGACUAUGCACAAAUGUAUUGGUACAGACAACGUCCAGGAGAAGGAA